CCUAAGGUAGCGAAAUUCCUUGUCGGGUAAGUUCCGACCUGCACGAAUGGCGUAACGACUUCCCCACUGUCUCGACCAGGAGCUCGGCGAAAUUGCAGUACGAGUAAAGAUGCUCGUUAAGCGCAGAAGGACGAAAAGACCCCGGGACCUUUACUAUACCUUGGUAUUGGCAUUCGGUGUGGAUUGUGUAGCAUAGGCGGGAGGCCGAGAGGCGCGGUCGCCAGAUCGCGCGGAGCCGUAAGGUGAAAUACCGCUCUGUUCGCAUUGGAUGUCUAACCUCGAACAGUCAUCCUGUUCAGGGACAGUGCCUGGCGGGUAGUUUAACUGGGGCGGUUGCCUCCCAAAGAGUAACGGAGGCGCCCAAAGGUCCGCUCAGCCCGGUUGGCAAUCGGGUGGCGAGUGCAAGUGCACAAGCGGGCUUGACUGCGAGGACGACGGUCCGAGCAGGGACGAAAGUCGGGACUAGUGAUCCGGUGCCGGUGUACGGACGCGGCAUCGCUCAACGGAUAAAAGGUACCCCGGGGAUAACAGGCUGAUCAUUCCCAAGAGUCCAUAUCGACGGGAUGGUUUGGCACCUCGAUGUCGGCUCGUCGCAUCCUGGGGCUGGAGCAGGUCCCAAGGGUUCGGCUGUUCGCCGAUUAAAGCGGCACGCGAGCUGGGUUCAGAACGUCGUGAGACAGUUUGGUCUCUAUCCUCUGCGCUCGUUGGAAUGCUGAGGAGGCCUGCCCAUAGUACGAGAGGACCUGGGUGGACGAACCUCUGGUAUGCCGGUUGUCACGCCAGUGGCACGGCCGGUUGGCUACGUUCGGAAGGGAUAACCGCUGAAAGCAUCUAAGCGGGAAGCCUGCUCCAAGAUAAGCAUUCCGUGGAACCUUCGAGUUCCUGUAGUCCCCAUGCAGAACACGUGGUCGAUAGGCCGGACGUGGAAGCCCCGCGAGGGGUGGAGCCGACCGGUACUAACGGACGAAAGGCAACACCAA
rnacentral:rRNA from 1 species